CAAGGAUCAGUGUGUUCAGAUCAUGGAUGGAAAGAUUUUAAGGCAAAGAAGACACCCAGAAAUGUUUUUCCAACCGAGGCAUCCGGUCCCAACCAUCAUCAGUUCUCAUGAUGUCACAUACAUGGCGAGUACACAAUGUCUUAAAAUUGUUUCUAUAAGGUGCAGUGAACGCGAAUGUUCUGUCAUUGAUCCUCACUUUCAUGUUUUAUUGUCACACUUAAAUUUUCAUGUUCAUUGUGUUCACUUUUGAUGUGUAAACUGAUAAUUUAUGU